UGGGGAAUAUUGCACAAUGGGCGCAAGCCUGAUGCAGCAACGCCGCGUGAACGAUGAAGGUCUUCGGAUCGUAAAGUUCUGUUGCAGGGGAAGAUAAUGACGGUACCCUGUGAGGAAGCCCCGGCUAACUACGUGCCAGCAGCCGCGGUAAUACGCAGGGGGCUAGCGUUAUCCGGAUUUACUGGGCGUAAAGGGUGCGUAGGUGGUCUUUCAAGUCGGUGGUUAAAGGCUACGGCUCAACCGUAGUUAGCCUCCGAAACUGGAAGACUUGAGUGCAGGAGAGGAAAGUGGAAUUCCCAGUGUAGCGGUGAAAUGCGUAGAUAUUGGGAGGAAAACCAGUAGCGAAGGCGGCUUUCGGGACUGCAACUGACACUGAGGCGCGAAAGCGUGGGUAGCAAACAGG
rnacentral:rRNA from 1 species